AUUUUUGCCAGUGUGAAGUCAAGCAUUAGCAUUUGUAUUUUCAGUAUAUUGCACCAAAGAGUACUUAGAUUAUUGACACAACAACAUGAGUUUUUAGUAUGGUUUUUUAUCCUUGUGUUGGUGUUUCAAGUAAUUUGCACCUAUGGAUACAUAAAUAAGAUUGGUGACAUAUUUUUCACCUCACUGAUGCACACUCAGUGAGACACUGCAUUUACACUACUUCAUGAUUUGCAGUUUACACACUUCCUGUGAGGUUAUGAUCCUUCCAGUUUUAUUUGAACAUAAUCUCAUUAAGAUGGACCUUUGCUUCCUCUUAAUUUCCUUAAGGCCUGAUUCGAGAAUUGUUAUGCUGUGUUAAUGGGUUGGAAAUAUAACAUCAUAACUUCAGGGGCAGCUUGAUAGCAUCAAGAAAUUGUCAAAGGAGUAUGCUGAAGCCAAAGAAUUGGCCCUUGCAUGUGCUUGCCCCCUUGUUACCUGUGCCUUACAUUUUCUACAUGUGUGUACGAUUUUGGAACUUUACUUACUAGAGCACUGGUUUGAACCUUCUGCUAUCCGCUUACCCUUACUUUCCACCUUGACAGAGGCAGGCCAAACCGUUGACCUUGAAGAUGCUGAGCACUUCCUUCAGAGUGAUACACUUUUUGGCGACAAGAUAGAUGAGAUCGUCAAAGAAUGGGAUGCAAUUGUGCAAUUGAGAGAUACCUCUGGAUUCUGGUAGUGAUACACAAGGUAGCUACUGGAUAAGAAUAUAGCCAAGCAAAGAGCCAGGUUGCUUCUUGCUGUGUGAGUUGCUUGAGAGCGAAGAGAGCAGAAAUGAGCUUCUCCAUCAGAAUAGGAAGAGCGGAAAAGGAAAUUUGCUUCCUGCUGUACAAGGGAUGUUGAGGAAGCAAAAGCUGCGGUAUGCUUGGAUGGGAUUCGGCAAAAGCAGAAGCUACAACAUGUAUUGUUUUGUGUACGUUUGAAAUUUACUCGUGGCGUUAGCACGGGCACCUUACUAGUAAUAUAUAGGGAAAUUUUCUUUCCAACUUUCAAUUUUUAGAGGAGAGCUGCUUCACAAGCUUAAUUUUUGUCUUUUCUCUCCCCCCCCACUCC